ACGUGGGAACGUGCCCUUUGGUUCGGAAUAACUCAGGGAAACUUGAGCUAAUACCGGAUGAGCCCUAACGGGGAAAGAUUUAUCGCCAUUGGAGCGGCCCGCGUCCGAUUAGCUUGUUGGUGGGGUAAUGGCCCACCAAGGCGACGAUCGGUAGCUGGUCUGAGAGGACGACCAGCCACACUGGGACUGAGACACGGCCCAGACUCCUACGGGAGGCAGCAGUGGGGAAUCUUGGACAAUGGGGGAGACCCUGAUCCAGCCAUGCCGCGUGAGUGAUGAAGGCCCUANGGUUGUANAACUCUUUCGGCGGGGACGAUAAUGACGGUACCCGCAGAAGAAGCUCCCGGCUACUUCGUG
rnacentral:rRNA from 1 species